GUGCCGGUGCGGGGAGCUAUAAUGCAAGUCGAGCGGACAGAUGGGAGCUUGCUCCCUGAUGUUAGCGGCGGACGGGUGAGUAACACGUGGGUAACCUGCCUGUAAGACUGGGAUAACUCCGGGAAACCGGGGCUAAUACCGGAUGGUUGUCUGAACCGCAUGGUUCAGACAUAAAAGGUGGCUUCGGCUACCACUUACAGAUGGACCCGCGGCGCAUUAGCUAGUUGGUGAGGUAACGGCUCACCAAGGCGACGAUGCGUAGCCGACCUGAGAGGGUGAUCGGCCACACUGGGACUGAGACACGGCCCAGACUCCUACGGGAGGCAGCAGUAGGGAAUCUUCCGCAAUGGACGAAAGUCUGACGGAGCAACGCCGCGUGAGUGAUGAAGGUUUUCGGAUCGUAAAGCUCUGUUGUUAGGGAAGAACAAGUGCCGUUCAAAUAGGGCGGCACCUUGACGGUACCUAACCAGAAAGCCACGGCUAACUACGUGCCAGCAGCCGCGGUAAUACGUAGGUGGCAAGCGUUGUCCGGAAUUAUUGGGCGUAAAGGGCUCGCAGGCGGUUUCUUAAUUCUGAUGUGAAAGCCCCCGGCUCAACCGGGGAGGGUCAUUGGAAACUGGGGAACUUGAGUGCAGAAGAGGAGAGUGGAAUUCCACGUGUAGCGGUGAAAUGCGUAGAGAUGUGCAGGAACACCAGUGGCGAAGGCGACUCUCUGGUCUGUAACUGACGCUGAGGAGCGAAAGCGUGGGGAGCGAACACGAUUAGAUACCCUGGUAGUCCACGCCGUAAACGAUGAGUGCUAAGUGUUACCGCUCUUCCGCCCCUUAGUGCUGCACCUACCGCAUUAAGCACUCCGCCUGGCGAGUACGGUCUCAAGACUGAACUGACGGGAAUCGACGGGGGCCCGCAAGAUCUGCGGACCAUGUGCUUAAUCAAAUCAUCGCAAAGAACUCUACCAGGUCUUGACAUCCUAUGACAAUCCUAAGAUAGAGUCCCCUUCGCGCGGCAGAUUGCACGGCUGUGAUGGGUCAUCUC
rnacentral:rRNA from 1 species